AACGCGAAGAACCUUACCUACCCUUGACAUCCUUAGAAUGCUUAAGAGAUUAGGCAGUGCCGCAAGGAGCUAAGAGACAGGUGCUGCAUGGCUGUCGUCAGCUCGUGUCGUGAGAUGUUGGGUUAAGUCCCGUAACGAGCGCAACCCCUAUGCUUAGUUGCUAACGUGUAAAGGCGAGCACUCUAAGCAGACUGCCGGUGAUAAACCGGAGGAAGGCGGGGAUGAUGUCAAGUCAUCAUGGCCCUUAUGGGUAGGGCUACACACGUGCUACAAUGGUAGGUACAGAGGGUAACUGAAGCCGCGAGGUGGAAGCAAUCCCAGAAAGCCUGCCUUAGUUCGGAUUGGAGUCUGCAACUCGACUCCAUGAAGCUGGAAUCGCUAGUAAUCGCGAAUCAGAAUGUCGCGGUGAAUACGUUCCCGGGCCUUGUACACACCGUCGUC
rnacentral:rRNA from 1 species